AUACGUAGGGGGCGAGCGUUGUCCGGAAUGAUUGGGCGUAAAGGGCGCGUAGGCGGCGCGGUAAGUCUGGAGUGAAAGUCCUGCUUUCAAGGUGGGAAUUGCUUUGGAUACUGCCGCGCUUGAGUGCAGGAGGGGUUAUCGGAAUUCCCGGUGUAGCGGUGAAAUGCGUAGAGAUCGGGAGGAAAACCAGUGGCGAAGGCGGGUAACUGGACUGCAACUGACGCUGAGGCGCGAAAGUGUGGGGAGCAAACAGGAUUAGAUACCCUGGUAGUCCACACUGUAAACGAUGAAUGCUAGGUGUAAGAGGUAUCGACCCCUUUUGUGCCGGAGUCGACACAAUAAGCAUUACGCCUGGGGAGUACGGCCGCAAGGUUGA
rnacentral:rRNA from 1 species